rnacentral:rRNA from 1 species
CCUACGGGUGGCAGCAGUCGAGAAUCAUUCACAAUGGGGGAAAGCCUGACGCUGCGACGCCGCGUGGGGGAAGGAAGGUUUCGGGAUGGAAACUUCUUGUAAUGGGGGAGCAAAGGAAACAGUAAGUCUUAAAAGAGGAAGAGAUGGCUACCUAGGUGCAAGCACCGGCGGUAAUACGGAGGUAUCAAGCGUUGUUCGUAGUUAGUGGACGUAAAGGGUGCGUAGGCGGUCUCGUAAGUGGUGUGUGAACGGGCCGGGCUCAACGCCGGACCUGCAUAUGAUACGGUUGGUAUUGAGUAAUGGAGAGGGAGCCGGAAUUCUCGGUGUAGCAGUGAAAUGCGUAGAUAUUGGGAGGAACACUCGUGGCGAAGGCGGGUUCCUGGACAUUAACUGACGGUGAGGCGCGAAGGCCAGGGGAGCAAAGGGGAUUAGAUACCCCGGUAGUC